ensembl:lncRNA
CAACAUUCUUCCAGUCUUCAACCGUCCUAUUUUGAUGACCGGGGUAACAGGAUAUGCCUUUCUGACCAGAUAAAGAUGUCAGCCCAAGUAGCUUCUGGAAUGGCUUAUCUGGAGUUAAAGAACUUCCUCCACAGGGACCUGUCUCCAAGUGCAUACCUGUGGGGGAUGCCCUGUUCCCUUUGAGAUGGACAGCUCCCGAGGCAAUCGCCAGCAAGACGUUCACCAUCAAGGGUGACGUGUGGUCCUUCUUGUUGUAUAAGAUCAUGACUUUUGGUAAGAAGCCCUAUGCAAGUAAGAUUUUUAUAUUUACUUUGUCCACAUAGAAAUUCUGCACUAAGUGGAAAUGUCUUAGAGAUCUGGGGGCUUUUAAGUGGCGAGUCAAGACCGUUAUCAUAAAUUGUAUUCCACAAAAAAUAAAUAUAUAUCAACCGAGCAACAAUACACUGACACAACGGUCUGAGUUCUGCCAACAAACCUGAAAGUUUAUGCCCAAGAAUGGCAGAUAACCCCACUUCAGUACUGUGCUGUGUUUAGAGUAAUUGGACAGUAAGCAUUGGACAGUAAGCAAUUAUUUAUGGCUCAGCAUUCAAGUUUGGGGGACAACAAACAGUUACUAUAAGGUUCAAGUAUUGAUUCUUAGAUUUUAGUUGAGGGUAUUUGUGUAUGGAGGACUAAAUGUGCC